rnacentral:rRNA from 1 species
CUUGGUGACUAUAGCGACGGGGAAAUACCCGGCUCCAUCUCGAACCCGGAAGUAAAGUCCGUCAGCGCCGAUGGUACUUGGGGGGCAGCCCCCUGGGAGAGUAGGUCAUUGCCAAGA